ensembl:lincRNA uncharacterized LOC101670323
CUCCUGGAUGGUACACGGGGCAGGCCGGCCGCCACACUGCAGGGACACUCAGACAGCCCCCGUGAAGGCCCACGUGGGGAGGAACUGAUGACCCCGCCAGCCACCAGCACCAACUUAUUUGCCAGUCACGUGGGUUGGCCACGUGGAAGUGGAUCCUCCAGCCCCUGUCAGACCCUCCCUGACGUCCACCUGCAGUCCCCUGAGAAACCCCAAGGCAGAAGUGCCCAGCCACGCUGCUCCUGCAUUCCCGACCACAGAAACUGUGAGAAAUAGGAAGUGAUUAUUGCCGCUUUACGCCGCUAAGCUUCAGGGUAAUUUGUUACACAACAGUAAGUAACUAAUACGGCUGAUUACUAAUUACGGUUGAUGACGUUUCUCCUAAGCUUCCAAGACGGCUGCCCAGGAUCCUAGCCUCCAGGUUACUCAUGCCUCCGGGGAUGCCGUCCCCUUGAGUGUGGACUGGACACAGUGACUUGCUUCUGAUAAAAGAACAAGGCAUACCUGAUGGGGUGUGACUCUGAGCUCGUUUCCAGAAGACUCCGGCUUCCAUUAUGCUCGCCUCUCUUGCUCCCUCCCUGGCUCUGAGGAAAGCCAGCUGCCAUGUCGUGAGCUGCCCUGUGGAGAAGCCCAUGUAGCCAAGACCAGACGGACGUCCCUAGCCAACAGCCCGUGAGGAACCAAGACCAAGAGUCCAGCAACCUGUGAGGGGCAGAAUCUCGCCGGCAGCCAUGCAGGUCUACAAGAACCCCCCAGACUCCGGUUCCCAAGGAGCCCUCCUGGCAUGGAGGGGAGCCACAGAGGGACCAGACUGCUCGGGCAGCACCGGCCAGAGAGCCAACCUGCAGACUGAGGAAGAGGCUCUUGGGCACUGGCACAUGGCGGGUGCUUGAUGCAACCCUGACCCUGCAGCUGUCGGGGUUCUUGGCCUCAUUAGCUUCAUGGCAGCCACUGUUGUCACGACAUCCUCAGGGCACUGCCCGGAUCUGGGAGGACCUCGGGAGGAUGCUGCUCUUCAGAGAUGGGAAGCUUCGGUUUGUGCAGUCAGCCCUGCUUUGCUGGGGGCUUCCUGAAGGAACGUUCCCUGGAUCUGGUCACCCCUCGCCAGGUGAGGCUGAGCCUGAGCUCUGCAUGGCACCCUGCCCGGAACAGCAACAGCUCGCUCAACUUUCUGGAAGUCUCCCGCUCUCCCUCUGCGUGCCGAGAGGCUCUGCCUUGCUUGGGUGUUUAUUUCUUGCUCUACGAAGCGAUGAUUUAAUUCUUGCCUGGGAUAUCAUUCAGCCCAAGUUCGUGCUGAAGUGAAGCAUAUUUCAGCACCCACCAAUUUCCAUAUAGAUAAAAAAAGAAAAAAACCCAAGAAAGAAGGGAAACAACCUCUACCAGCAUCUUCACAAACUAUGCAUUUGAAACCUGUUUCUUGAAGAUGGAUUGCUCCAUCAGGCUGCUAAGAGGCUUUUCUUGACUUGUCAACAGUUUUAUACCCCCACAAACAUGCGUGGCUAUAAAUUAUUCAUUGCCCAGUUAGUGGUUAAAAAAAAAAAAAAAAGGAUGCCUGGGACCGAGGUACAUUCUUAAUUCUCCCUCUGCUUUUCAGAUCCAACUUGUUUUUUUCCUUCCUGCUGCUGGAAAGUAGAAAUAACUGCAAAUCUCUUGACUGGGAGGUUCAUGGCUCUGGCGUAAUGAGAAGGUCCUGCUGAGCCCUGUGUGAGCUCUGCUGGGAGGGUGGGGUCGUCAUCUGUGGGACCCCGGGGUUCUCAAAUACAUGCGGAGGUGAGAAAUAGAGGUGUUGUGGGCUUUCCUCCUCCUCCUCCUCAUCUUCUUCUUCUUCUUUUUUUUUUUUUUUCCCUGUUGGCAGGAACUCCAGGGUUUUCAAAAAAGCAGAGAGGAGACUUGAUUCUAUUCUAGGCCCAGCCAUUUCAGAGACCAUGGCUGGACAGGAUCUUAGCCCUUCCAUGCUCACCGGCUUCCACCCUCCUUGGGUCCCUCCCAAGGUGGGAGCCCCCGUCAGGAGAUAGCACGUUUCUUGUCCUUCUCCUUGUGUCCACCCUCUCUAUGUGCCCAGCAUACCCUUGGGCCUCCCCUCCGCCCCCCAAGUGGCCUCCUCCUCCAGCAGGAUUCUCAAGUCUGCCAGCACCCGUGGGACGUGGAGAGAGGUGGUGGUGGGGGGCUAUGCUUCAGAGUUUGGGGCCUGCAUUGGCCAUGACAAAGCUGCCCAAAGUGGAUGCUUAAAACAACAGAAGUCCUUUCUCUUACAGUCCUGGAGGCCAGGAGUCAGAAAUGAAGCUGCCUGCAGGGCCGUGCUCCCUCCAGCCUCUGCCUCUCCCUCUCCCACCAGGUAGAACCUUCCUCGCUUCUCCCUAGUUCCUGGUGAUGGCCCUCCAUCCCUGGCCUGCGGCUGGAGUUUCUACCUCAUUGUCACAUGGUGUCCCCCCUAUGUGUGUCUGUCCCGCCCUCUUCUAGGAACCCCAGUCACAUGGGAUGAUGGGCCUACGCCACUCUUCAUCGUAAUGUCACCUGUUACAGCUGCAAAGACCCAUUGCAAUCCGAAGGGUCCGAAGAGCCUCCAGCGAUCGGGCCCAGAGCAGAAAUCAGAAGAGUCAAAAGGCCAAAGAGUUGGCAACCUACUGAGAGCUUCUCGUACAACAUUCUGGCACGUUGUUAUCCCGAAAGACUGUCUUUUGCCCCAGUUUGGAGGCACAGUACCAAAGGCCCCUUCUCCAUCUCUGGUUGUGGAUGGGCCAGACUCUGGUGUGGGCCUGAAACCUUGUCCUUCCAUAUGAGCAUAGAGAGAAAAUUCAGCUGAUGGCAGGACUGACCCACCUUGAAUGGGAACCAGAUGUCCCUGGAGAAUAGCUGCCUUGGAUACUGUCUAGUGGCCUGGUUUGAGAGCCCGGUGUCCACCUGCCACUGGUAGAAGGACAUGUGGCCUCUUGAGUGGCCCCCUGCUCCACCUUGACCCCCGCUUCCUCCCCCUUACUCACGUUGUCUCCGGGCACUGGGGACGUUGCUGGCAGUUUCUCUGGGUGGACUCUGGGAAGGCCUCUGGGGUCCCCUGCUCAGUCUGGAUAGAGCGGUCGCAUGCCGGUGUUUUGCUGAGCAAGCCAGUGUCACGUGGGGAGUGACGAUGGGACUGGACAUGGGGUUGUUUUCCGCCAGCCCUACUCCCUAAUGUGGAGAGAAGGAGUCAUGAUUUCAUUUCCAAAUAUUUUGUAUGUGGAAUGCUAAGGAAGAGACAUGGCUGGGUGUUUGGGCUUUCAGAGACUUCCAGAUGCUGUGUCUGCAAACCCCAGGGGACAUUAGGUUUUGUCGAGGCCAUCUGGUGCCCAAGUUCUGUCACCUCUCACCAGCCCAGCUAUGGCGAAGGGGAAGGCUCCAUUCUGCAGACAGCAGACCAAAAAGGCAGGGGCCCAAUGUCCUGACUCAUCUCAUUGGAUGUGGCUGUUAUUUCGGGGUGACCCACCUUUGAUUCAAUUGGAGUUUAAGUCAGAUUAAGCAGCUUUUACUCAGAGCCGCGGGAGCUCCUCUGAGACCGGCCCCAACCCUUCACGUGUGGCAGUGAGGCAGUGAGGCUGUUUGGAGCACAAGAGGUUGGCAGGAGCUCUUGGCCCAUAAUGGCUGACGGAGACAGAAACUAAGUGCCAAGCACCCCACGUCCAAUAUUUCAUGUACUUCUCACGCACCCAUUGCACAGGUGAGGGGACCCUGGCUCCAAGAGACCAAGUGAUCUACCUGGGUCACCUGCCUAGUAGGUGGCAGAGCCUCCCAGGCCCAGAGUUCCUGAAUGGGAGGAUGUCUUCUUCAGGCGGCUAGCUUCCCCGUCCCUCUGAUCGCAUAGUGCAUGGUGGUGGCCGAGUCCAGAUGCUCUCCGGGCAAAUGAGGUUCCUUCCUAGGGCUGAGGAUCUGAGUAGAAGCCUUUGGAGUGGAGCACCGCCUCCUCCUUGGCUGUCUGGGGGGCGGCACUUGCGAUGCGUCUAGGUAUGGGCCAUAUUGAUGGAGGAAAUGUGGACCCCAAGAUGGGCAGCCCGCCCUUGGGGUACCUGCUGGGGAAUUACUCAGAGGAAGAAACCACAGCAGGGACCCGAGGGAACAGGCUCUCCGGGGAGUGUUGUGUGAAAAUUCUCUUUUCAUUCAAAGGCCAAAGAGUCAAAUAAAAGAAAGUCUUCUGAAAUGAGGGUCUUCCUGGGAGCACUUGGAAGCGUUUUGCAGAAAUCCAGACUGUUGUAAAGAGAAACAAGAGUAGCUAGGUGUCCAAAAAAUAAAUGUAUUCGUUAAUCCCAUGGUCUUUUCUAUUAUCCAGGUCAUUUAGUUUCAUUUUUUUGGUUUCAUUUGUUUCUUUCUUAAGACUGGGUUCUUUGAAAUAAUAUGGAAAUGACUCCGUAGGUCAUUUAUUUUCUGUAUCUUUUUAAAAAUUUAUUUUAUUAAAAAAUGCUAAAGUUCAAGUGUAAUUAAGAUACAGUGUUACAUUUGUUUCAGGUGUGCAAUAGACUGAUUCAGC